rnacentral:misc_RNA from 1 species
GAAAUGCGAUAAUUAAUGUGAAUUGCAGAAUUCAGUGAAUCAUCGAGUCUUUGAACGCACAUUGCGCCCCCUGGUAUUCCGGGGGGCAUGCCUGUCCGAGCGUCAUUGCUGCCCUCAAGCACGGCUUGUGUCUUGGGCUUCCGUCCCUGGCAACGGGGACGGGCCCAAAAGGCAGUGGCGGCACCAUGUCUGGUCCUCGAGCGUAUGGGGCUUUGUCACCCGCUCCCGUAGGUCCAGCUGGCAGCUAGCCUCUCAACCAAUCUUUUUAACCAGGUUGACCUCGGAUCAGGUAGGGAUACCCGCUGAACUUAAGC